GAUUCCUUAGUACAGUGGUUACUACACUUGACAUAGACAUAAGAGACGUGGGUUCAAUUCCCACAGGCUCA
rnacentral:tRNA from 1 species